rnacentral:misc_RNA from 1 species
AAUUAUCAACUCCCUUUCUUUAUUGAAGGGUGAGCUUGGACUUGGGGAUUGCUGGUGCAUAUUGGCUUCCCUUGAGUGUAUUAGCUGGAAUUUGAUUCGCAGCAUAUAUGCGGUGUGAUAAUGUCGUCACUGUGUAGCUCGGAUUGUCUGGCUUCUAAUCGUCCUUCACGGGACAAUUUGAUCU